CUCUUGGUGAUUAUUCUUUUCAAAGGUCUGUUUGACACCAAAUUGCUGGAAGUUUAUUUUGAAAGCUCUGUAAUACAUUUUCUGCACUUCAAGGUUUUUAGUCUUCUUAUAUUCCAGCUUCAGCAGGCUUAGUUAAAAUUUUGUUCAAUGUUUGGUAUCUGUUCAUAUGAUAUAAUUCAAGUUGUCAUGGUUAGAUAUGUUGUAAUUGUUGGGUUACUGUGAGCGCACAUCCAACUGUUGUUUGGUCGCAUAGAGAUUUACCUAUACUUUUGGGCUUCUGAAAAUGCGCUUUAUUAGUUUUCAGUAUCAAGUUUAACAAGUCACAGCUUCUGAUCCUGGUUGUACUUCAGAAUAUGGCGAAUGAUUUCCGUCAAGAAUUAUUUGUUUGUCCUACAUGACUGACGGAAAGGGAUCUUGGAACAGCGAGUGAUACCUUAUACUUCUUUGCUCAGAACAUCUAACUUUGAAGGUGAUUUCUGGACUUUUUUUUCUUUGUUUUGAGAAUUCUUGGACACGGCCACAAUAAUCACCAAUCACCAAUAUUUCUUCCCCCCACUCCCAACAAUAGCCCUACCCGUCCAGCUUUAGGGAUUAAUAUGACCUUAGCAAUUGCCGUAUUAUCUCCUUAAUGUCAUUGCAGACACUGCUUAGUAGUUAACAAAAUGAAAUCUUUUUGUGCAGCCUAUACUCAAGGAUACCUGAUGCUCAGGUAUCAUAUAGAUGUAACUUCUUGUAGCUAGCAAUUUAUCCUGGUUUUUUCUUGAGCAGGCGGUCUAUUUUCUUCUUGCCAUGAAGAAUUGCCAAUAGCUCUUCUUGUUUUUCCGUAUUUCUUUUUGUCUUAUAUACUGUCAGUCAAUUUUAUUUCUAAUGUGAUGCCUACCAAGCUGGCUGGGAAUAUCCCAAAUCCCAGUAACCACAAAAGUACUGAUAAGCUGCACAUUCAAAUCCUGAACUUCAACUGAUAAUCAAUAUCCGUGAUUACAUUACACUUGGGGACUUGACCAGUAAGUUCUCUGAACUAACGACUUUGAAGAUUUUUAAAUGUUCCAAUAGAAGCUCUGUGCUUAAGCGUUAGUAUGAUUGAUCCGGAGUAUCUCCGUGACUGAGGAUUUUGAAAUAUGUAGUUUUUGGUGGGUAUGUGCUGCAUGCAACUAUAAAGUUUUGACAAUGUGAUUGGCUCUUAAUAUUUUGAAGAACUAGUGAGGAUGUUGAAUGAUUGGAUGUUAAACUCAGUCAGGUCUGAUGGAUGGCAUUCAUUAGAGAAGAAAGGUUAAAAACAUAUGGAUGAGUAGAUAGAGAGAUGAAUGAAUUAGGGCCUGAACCUGACUCCUGGCAAAUACCUACACACAAAUUCUCUAGCC